UUUUUUUUUUUUUUUUUUUUUUGGGACAAGUACCUACUAUGUGCCUGGCAUGGCCCUGGGCACUGAGAAAACAACAGAAAAAAAGCUAGAAAACUAGAAAAAAAGCUCAUCCUUCUGAGCCCUGGGUCUGUGUGACACAGCAUGCGUGAGGCUGGUGGAUUACACAGUGUGCUACCUGCUGGACAGCUUUUCUAUCAGUUCUCCUACUCACCUCAACUAAUACUGGCUGAAUUAAUGAGUGAAUGAAUGAAUGAAUGAACCAAUGUCUCCACUUUAUUCAUUACUGGAUCCCCAGUUCCUGCAGAGGUGUGACACGUGAUAGAUACUCAACAUACGUUUGCAGAAUAAUUGGACCUAAAAUCCAGUGCCUGGUCCCACAAAGGAGCACAGGGCUUACAUUCAGACCCAAAUUCAAAUCCUAGCAGUGCCACUCACGUGCUGGGUGACCUUGACUCAGUCCAUCCCCUGCUGCCUGCUCCACAUCUGGAAAUUGAGGAUAGUGCUAGUGCCCCCUCCCCAGGCUACUGUGAUGAGAUCACCAAGGCUGGGAAAUAUCAGGGAAGGGGGGUUGCCAGCCUUGGAGCCUGCAUAGUUAAGCCUUCCUCCCCUACCCCCACCACCCCAUGUCACGUGGCUGGUGGUCAUUCCCUCCAGGACAAAAGGCCCGAUUUAAUCCAGCCCACCAUCACCACUGUCGCCACUGGGACACAAUGCAGCAGGUUUGUGGCCAACGUCUGCUGAUCAGGUUUCGUGUAACAUCCCUGCCAGGCUGCCCGGGCCGGCAGACAAAGGCCUCUUUGUUGCAAAUAUGUUUUUUAAAUCCCUGAAGAUAUUAGCAGUGCGGGGAAACUCACACUGUGAAACAGUUCAGAAAUUGUUAAAGGAACAUGUUUCAAACUGGGGGGUGAUCAUUUAAAUGGAAUCUGCCCUCGUGCUUUCUUAUCGAGAGCAAGAUUCCUCAGAGCCAGAUUGGGCCCCGGACCUGGGCAGGGAAGUUUCCAAGGCCAAAUAACCUUAACACUCAUCAUAACAACAAUGCCAGCAGCCAUUUACGGAGUCCACAAGGCCAGUCGCCAGCCCGCCUAUGCCUUUGUGCACGUGACCGCCAAACCUCGGCACUUAGAGAGAUUCAGAUGGGCAGUCCCAUUCGACAGAUGGAAAAUCUGAGGUUUAGGGAAGUGUUGGCCCAAGUCACAGCUGGCCUUGAACCAGGUUUUUUGGAUCCUCCACACAGCCCCUGUGCCCUCUUCAUUCUGUUGAUGGCCACAGGCAUGGAACACGUCCCAACUUGUGAACUCUGUCCCAUCAGGCAUCCAGGAGGGCAUCUGACGGGCACCCAGUCCCCUCACACCCUGUUCCUUCAAGUUCACACAAGAGUGCCUCCUCCAACACAUCUCUCCACCUACUUCUCUGUCACCUGGGCUGAGUGCAGUGGUCACGAUCAUGGCUCACUGCAGCCUCAAUGUCCCAGGCUUAACCGAUCCUUCCACCUCAGCCUCUCGAGUAGCUGGAACUAUAGGCACACACCAACACACCCAGCUAAUUUUUGUAUUUUUUAAAUUUAUUAUUUAAUUAAUUUAUUUAUUUAGAGAUGGAGUCUCUCUCUGUCACCCAGGCUGGAGUGCAGUGGUGCAAUCUUGGCUCAUUGCAACCUCCGCCUCCCAGGUUCAAGUGAUUCUCCUGGCUCAGCCUCCUGAAUAGCUGGGAUUACAGGCGCCCACCACCACACCUGGCUCAUUUUUUUUUUUUUUGUAUUUUUUAAUUUUUUUUUUUUUUUUUUUAGAUGGAGUCUCACUCUGUCACCCAGGCUGGACUGCAAUGGGGUGGCCUCGGCUCACUGCAACCUCUGC
ensembl:lncRNA